rnacentral:rRNA from 1 species
ACUCCUACGGGAGGCAGCAGUCGGGAAUAUUGCUCAAUGGGGGAAACCCUGAAGCAGCAACGCCGCGUGGAGGAUGAAGGUUUUCGGACUGUAAACUCCUUUUGUUAGAGAAGAUAAUGACGGUAUCUAACGAAUAAGCACCGGCUAACUCCGUGCCAGCAGCCGCGGUAAUAC